UUUCCGUAGGUGAACCUGCGGAAGGAUCAUUCAUAAUCAAGUGUUUUUAUGGCACUUUCAAAAAUCCAUAUCCACCUUGUGUGCAAUGUCAUCUCUCUGGGGGCCGCCGGCUGUCAAAAGCCGUGUGGUCACCUUUGGGAUUUAUAUCUACUCAGAACUUUAGUGAUUUUGUCUGAAACAUAUUAUGAAUACUUAAUUCAAAAUACAACUUUCAACAACGGAUCUCUUGGCUCUC
rnacentral:misc_RNA from 1 species